rnacentral:rRNA from 1 species
AUGACAACGACGUCGCCGGCCCCACCCACACGUGCCGUGCGUAUCAAUCGAACUCGGCAGGAAAAGGUGUCCUCCUCGCUUCCAUCUCCGGCGACGCGCGCGGCGGAGACGGACAGCUAUCGUCGAACGGACGGACGAAGGAACGAAGGAAGGUCGGUAGGAUCAGAGCUUGGUGUGGUCGCGGCACUCCUGGCUGCGGACGCCCAGCUCCGCGACGCCGAAUACGAAGCUGCAGUCGGAGUAGGCGACGGCGUGGCGCUUGAACACGCCGAACACCGCCACCCGCCCGGGGAUCCUGGUGCUGGCCUCCAGCGGCAGCGACCCGGUCUCCACGUCCGUGACCAGCUGCGCCAGGUCCCCGGCGAACCGGUCCGCCUGCAGCGUCAGCGCAAGCUUCACGUCCGCGUCCCCCUUGCUGGGGACGCGGCCGGGGUCGAUCUCGGCGUCGCCGACGUGGGCGCCGCGGUAGGUGAGGUCCGUGUGGCCGCCCGACGGGAAGGAGAAGGAGGCCGGGUUGGGGUUGUGCACGGACACCGUGAGGAGGAGGGUGACGUUGAGCUGGAUGUUGAGCGCCGGGAAGGUGAGGCGCGGGGCCACGCCGAUGAGGCGCGUGGAGACGAGCCGCGUGGUCGGGUCCCGGACGCGGAGCACGGUGAGGAAGAGGAUCAGGAGGACGACGGCGACGAGGACGAGGGUGACGGCCAGGCACGCGCAGCAGAGGCAGCCGCGGCGGCGCCGCAGGCGCUGCUUCUGGUGGCGCGGGUCGUCGACGGGCGGCUUGGAGGUGGCGGUGUGCGUCGGGAGGCCGCCGCCGGUAACGUUGCCGUAGCCGUUGGUGGACGCCAUUGGUUGGGGCAGGCUCGGGAUGCUGGGAGAGAUCGAGGGGGUUGCAAACUUGCAGUGGCGGCGAGCGUGCGUGGGUGCGUGCGUGGAGGCGGAGGCGGAGGUGGUUUGAUUCGAUUUUCCGGUGGGGAUGGAAGGAUAUCAAUGCCCGGAUGA